rnacentral:rRNA from 1 species
UACGGGGGGAGCAAGCGUUGUUCGGAUUUACUGGGCGUAAAGGGCGCGUAGGCGGCCACCGCAAGUCGAUUGUGAAAUCUCCGGGCUUAACUCGGAAAGGUCAACCGAUACUGCGGGGCUAGAGUGCAGAAGGGGCAACUGGAAUUCCUGGUGUAGCGGUGGAAUGCGCAGAUAUCAGGAGGAACACCGGUGGCGAAGGCGGGUCUCUGGGCAGUAACUGACGCUGAGGAGCGAAAGCGUGGGGAGCGAACAGG